AGAGCGAAUCUCCGUUGGUCUGUGUAAGGCCAUAAGAAAGGCUGUCACACGACGCGGGUUUUUAUUCUCUAAUUCGCACCUCACCAUACCCACAGAGAGCGAGAGAGAUCUCCGCCUCCGCCUCCGCCACCGCCACCGCCAUGGGCGACCCUAAUAGACCACCAGUCACAGGCUACCCCGCCGCCCCCAACGGUUACUCCGCCCAACCGCCGCCGCCACCGUCAGGCACCGCCUACCCUUACGUCGCCGCUCACCCGCCCAACGCCUACUACAGCUACCCCAACAACGCAUACAACUAUCACUACGACGCCGACUCCGUCCGCCGCGCCGCCUGGCUCCGCCGGAUCUUCGCCUUUGUAAUCGGUCUCGUCGUAAUCUUCGGAACGAUCACCUUCAUCGUCUGGUUGGUCCUCCGCCCGCAGCUCCCGGAGUUCCGCGUCGAUUCCGUCGCCGUCUCCAAUCUCAGCCUCGGCAACAACUCGCUUGUGUCCUUCACCUCCGAGGUCCGCCUCACCGCGCGGAACCCUAACAAGAAGAUGGACCUCUUCUACGACGACAUCCAGUCGAUGCUGUAUUAUGAAUCCAGUGACCUCGCGCAGACCUCAGUUCCCCCGUUCUCGCAGCACACUCAAAGCGAGACUUCCCUGGCGGCGAAUUUCGCGGCGGCGGGGAGUUUCGUGGAGAAGUCGGUGGCGGAUGGGAUCACCGGCGACCAAAAGAAGAAUGGUAAUGUGAACUUCAAUUUGAGGAUGAUUUCUAAGGUUAAGUUUGAGGCGAAGGCGUGGAGGACUAGGCGGAGGUAUCUAAGGGUAUUUUGCGCAGAUUUGAUCGUUGGAUUUCCCGGCGGCCGGAGCUCCGGCACUUUGACCGGCGGCCCGAAGCAGUGCCGCGUAGGGAUUUGAGGUUGCUAAAUGGUUCAGAUAUGGUAAUUUAGGAGUCUGGAGCAAUUUUGAAGAUCGAUGUGUGGAGUUUCGACUGCCCUUUAUUCCUUUCCCUUACCGGAAAUAGCAUCAACACCUAACCAAGCUACUAUCAUAGUGACUCCAACGUUGUAACUUGGCUCAAGACACUUGAUUGAAUUGUUGUCAUUUGUUUCGUGUUGGAGAAACUGUUUGUGGAUGAUUAAUCAGGUUGCUUUCUUGGGAUAAGGAUACGACGUUUGCAAUGGACAGUAAGACCCUAUUAUGCUGCCCAAGCUUGUGAGGUAUGUGUUGGUGAUAUUUCCUUGUCGAAUACUUGGAAAGCUUGCAUUUUACCAUCUUUAAAGUUGUCUUUGGGAAACAUGCAUGUUUCUAGUCCAAAGAACUCAGGUGCUAUGUGUUGAAAAUCUUGUCUGUGACAAGGCACAAGAUUUUUGCUAGAAUUGUGAAAUCUUCAGAAAUUUGUCUUAUCAUAUGAAUUUUGAAAUAACAUUACUCAUCUUCCUAGACAUGAUGAAAGUGAUGAUAAUUGAAACCCCUUGAUGUUA